rnacentral:rRNA from 1 species
UACGGAGGGUGCGAGCGUUGUCCGGAAUCACUGGGCGUAAAGGGCGCGUAGGUGGCGCGACAAGUCAACGGUGAAAGCUCGGCGCUCAACGCCGAGUCGGCCGUCGAUACUGUUGGGCUUGAGCACUGUAGAGGCUAAUGGAAUUCCGGGUGUAGCGGUGAAAUGCGCAGAUAUCAGGAGGAACACCAAUGGCGAAGGCAGCACUCUGGGACGUGACUGACGCUGAGACGCGAAAGCGUGGGGAGCAAACAGG